GCUGGGUGCAAUGGCUCACACCUGUAUUCCCAGAAUUUUGGGAGGCUGAGGCAGGAGGAUCACUUGAGCACAGGAGUUCAAGGCUGCAGUGAGCUCUAAUCACUCCACUGCAUUCAGCCUGGGCAACAGAGUGAGACCCUGUCUCUU
rfam:Homo sapiens chromosome X, GRCh38 reference primary assembly.